UAUGCAUUUCUUUAGAGGAUAUGGAGUGAAGUAAACCUGUUAUAGAUAUUUUGACCAAUAAUAAAAGAGAAAUGUAGAUGGGUAAGUGGUAGUGUACAAUCGGAAUAGAAAAAAGCUCACCUUGUUCAAUUUUUCAGGGAUACUAAAAAAAAAAAAAAAAAUCCAUCGAAGGAUAUUUGAGCUACAGUAGGACAUUCAAUGAAAUCACGAAAUUUUGACGAACAAAGUCCCAUAACUCUGGAACGACAAUUCAGAAUUCCGUCAAAAACGAAAGGGGAUCAGGGUUUAUCAAUAUUAAGAUUGUGUUGAAAUUUGAAAAAAAUCCAUCGAAGGAUAUUUGAGCUACAGUAGGACAUUCAAUGAAAUCACGAAAUUUUGACGAACAAAGUCCCAUAACUCUGGAACGACAAUUCAGAAUUCCGUCAAAAACGAAAGGGGAUCAGGGUUUAUCAAUAUUAAGAUUGUGUUAAAA